GGGCCGUUAGCUCAGUUUGGUCAGAGCACUUGCUCGACACGCAAGGGGUCGGGGGUUCAAGUCCCUCACGGCCCA
rnacentral:tRNA from 1 species